UUCAUAUGUAUUAUCUCUGUUUAAUAUUCACAGUUUGUCUCCAUGAGGUCAUACAGCUGCUUGAGGUUGCUCGGAGAGUAAGAAGCAGAAUGAGAACUAGAACAGAAGCUCACUUUGGCCUGAAGGCUCAUGUGCUGAGCAUCUUCCCUUGUCUGUCUCCACCCCUAGCCUGGUGCCCAGCAUGUAGAAGACCUUCAUCCUAGAUGCAAUGGGAUUAAACUUGGAGAAAAUGGGAUUAAACUUGGACAAACACUACCUAUUUGGACUUGUGAUGAUGGCUUUCAAACUUCUUAAAGCAAUGAAGUAUUUUUUCCAGAAGAAACCUUACACAAGAAGCCCAGCACACUGAGUCAAGCAUAUGUAGGUGGAAGAUAUCUGGUUGAGACCAAGUAGAGAUAAACCUGUAGAUUCAACUGUGCCACCACAGUGAAUUCUAAGAAUCCACUGACUGUGAUCUGUAAGCUCCUACUCCACAGGAGGUCAGGGCACACAGCUUGAAACCGGAAGGCAGAAGAGUGACAGGGAAGGGUCAUGGACUCUGAAAUUAGAGCUAUCUGUGUUUUAAUACUAGUUCCAAUAGGCACAUGGUCUUGGAUAAAUGGUUUAAAUUAUCUGAGUCUCAAUUUCUUUCUCUGCAAAAAGGGAUGAUUAGUACAUAUGUAAUAGGGUUUUUAUAGAAAAUUGUAUAACUUGUUAAACACACAUGUACUAAGUGCUUGGUGCCCAGUAUGCACUGAAUAAAUGCUAGCUCCUUGCCUUUCAUCUCUAUGACCCUUCCCAAAUCUCUCAGCCCCAUAUUGCUUCAUGUAGUGUGUGUAUAUUUGGGAAAAUUUGUGUGCAUAUUUACAGAUGGGAUCCUACUCUUCUAUUGACAGACUGUCUUUUCAGAUGUGCCUUACUUUCAUUGCAUUGGUUUUUCAACUGAAAGUGAACAUAAAGGUUUUAAGCAUG
rnacentral:lncRNA from 10 species